AAACCAACUGGGAUUACCCUAGUAACGGCGAGUGAAGCGGUAAAAGCUCAAAUUUGAAAUCUGGUACUUUCAGUGCCCGAGUUGUAAUUUGUAGAAUUUGUCUUUGAUUAGGUCCUUGUCUAUGUUCCUUGGAACAGGACGUCAUAGAGGGUGAGAAUCCCGUUUGGCGAGGAUACCUUUUCUCUGUAAGACUUUUUCGAAGAGUCGAGUUGUUUGGGAAUGCAGCUCAAAGUGGGUGGUAAAUUCCAUCUAAAGCUAAAUAUUGGCGAGAGACCGAUAGCGAACAAGUACAGUGAUGGAAAGAUGAAAAGAACUUUGAAAAGAGAGUGAAAAAGUACGUGAAAUUGUUGAAAGGGAAGGGCAUUUGAUCAGACAUGGUGUUUUUGCAUGCACUCGCCUCUCGUGGGCUUGGGCCUCUCAAAAAUUUCACUGGGCCAACAUCAAUUUUGGCGGCAGGAAAAAUCUUUGGAAUGUAGCUACCUCGGUAGUGUUAUAGCCUUUUGAAAUACUGUCAGCUGGGAUUGA
rnacentral:rRNA from 1 species